rnacentral:lncRNA from 1 species
CACAGUGGUGAGAUCAUUGCUCACUGCAGCCUCAACCUCCUGGGCUCAAGCUAUCCUCCUACUUCAGCCUCCUGAGUAACUGGGACUGCAGGAGCCAUGCUCACCCCGAACGCUUCCACCAGCUCAGGCUGCAUGGUUUCAACAAGAGGAAUUUGUUUCUCAUAGUUCUGGAGGCUGGAAUUCCAAGAUCAAGGGCCUAUGACCAUGUCUGAUGUUCAGGGAAUGAAGAAGUGAAGAAAGCAGGAAUGAAUGAAGGAAGGAAGCAGCCCCAGCAAUUGGUUCCCAGGCGAGAAGCUGGUGGGGUUCUGACUUCUAUCCCGAUUCACACCCUUUUCUCCUGCCCUCAGGGCGGUCCUUCUCCUGCUCUUGUUCAUUCAUCCCCUUCAGCCCUUUCGUAUUCUCUUCUGUAGCCGAACCACAAAAAAUAAAUACAUUAGAAAUGUU